AACAAAUAAAUUUUUGUUAUAUUACCUAGGUUGAACCAACAAUAUUUAGUUAUGUUUUAUUCCUUAACCUUGAUUAUGUGAUUACUAGAUAAUCACAUAAUCAAGAUUAUACAUAAUAAUUUGAACCAAAUGCACCCUUUACCAUCUUCGCCACCUGAAACAUUUUACAUUGUGAGUCCUAUGGUUGCAUCCUAUGGUUGAUGCUGAGGGGUAGUCUCCUCCACGUGAUGCAUUCACGUACAUCUUUAGGCUUAGUGCUUGCAAAAAUACUCAGUGUCACGUUAUGGCAGGAGCAUUGCAUUUCCAAGAGAUUGCCCAGAAUUUUUCAUUAGCAGCUUGCUUCUUUUGUGCGUGAUACAGAUAGCAUGUUAUAAUUGUUUGUGUGCAGGCAUUUGAUGUUGGCCAUCAUGAAAUUAUACAUUUGUAAGGUAGAUCCGUUACCUUAGCGGCCCCCCUAGUGUCGGCUCCACGGAUAUGGAGGGAGAUUCAUGCAGGUACACAGGCCAUAGGCGCAUGACAGGAUAAACCUCAGGUCGUCAGUUCCUGAGAAUCAACCCCUGACCAUUACGUCAGAAAUACCAUGCGCCCACCGUCUGUGCUACGCCCUGGGAGCAUGAAAUUAUACAUUUGUAGCCAUCCCAUCCUGAGGAUGGUCGAUAUGGCGGUCUACGGUUGGAGGAAUAUUGAGACAAGGCUUCAGGCAGUCGGUAGCUUGCGCAAGAACUGUUGUUGGUAUUGGAUGAUGAUAACGAAGCAAUCCAAGCUAACCUUGUGGAAGGAGACUUUACCCUGCCUACUCAAAGGUAGUAGAUAAACACAAAUGUAAAGAUGGUUCAGCAAAAGUAUAUGGCCCAUUAUAUGAAGAUCAUAAAUAUUAUGGAAGAAGAAUUUAUUUCUCGUUUGAUAAGUUAAAUUCUUUCAUUUUCAUUUUUUUUCAAACUUUUAACCUGCGGGAUUUUUACUAGUACACUAUAAAUCUUAUUGGGUUGAUUUUUUUUUAAAAAAUUAUUAUUAUUAUUAUCUUAUUGUUUGUGAGAUGAUGAACAAUUCCUAUAAAGUGAUUUUACUUCGCA